rnacentral:rRNA from 1 species
GUCGAACGCUUCUUUCCUCCCGAGUGCUUGCACUCAAUUGGAAAGAGGAGUGGCGGACGGGUGAGUAACACGUGGGUAACCUACCCAUCAGAGGGGGAUAACACUUGGAAACAGGUGCUAAUACCGCAUAACAGUUUAUGCCGCAUGGCAUAAGAGUGAAAAGCGCUUUCGGGUGUCGCUGAUGGAUGGACCCGCGGUGCAUUAGCUAGUUGGUGACGUAACGGCUCACCAAGGCCACGAUGCAUAGCCGACCUGAGAGGGUGAUCGGCCACACUAGGGACUGAGACACGGCCCAGACUCCUACGGGAGGCAGCAGUAGGGAAUCUUCGGCAAUGGACGAAAGUCUGACCGAGCAACGCCGCGUGAGUGAAGAAGGUUUUCGGAUCGUAAAACUCUGUUGUUAGAGAAGAACAAGGACGUUAGUAACUGAACGUCUCCUGACGGUAUCUAACCAGAAAGCCACGGCUAACUACGUGCCAGCAGCCGCGGUAAUACGUAGGUGGCAAGCGUUGUCCGGAUUUAUUGGGCGUAAAGCGAGCGCAGGCGGUUUCUUAAGUCUGAUGUGAAAGCCCCCGGCUCAACCGGGGAGGGUCACUGGAAACUGGGAGACUUGAGUGCAGAAGAGGAGAGUGGAAUUCCAUGUGUAGCGGUGAAAUGCGUAGAUAUAUGGAGGAACACCAGUGGCGAAGGCGGCUCUCUGGUCUGUAACU